rnacentral:misc_RNA from 1 species
UCUCCGUUGGUGAACCAGCGGAGGGAUCAUUACAGGACUCGCAAGACUCCUUCACCCUGUGAACCUCACUACAAGCACGUUGCUUCGGCGGGUGUCCCGGCGGGGGUUUUCCCUCGCCGGGGCGCACAGCCCGCCGGCAGCCUACUAUACUCUGUCUAUUUGCGUUGGCAUCUCGAGAAAAAACAAACAAGUUAAAACUUUCAGCAACGGAUCUCUUGGUUCUG